rnacentral:rRNA from 1 species
GAUGAACGCUGGCGGCGUGCCUAAUACAUGCAAGUCGAGCGAAGCGGGGGCGGGUGAGUAAAACGUGGAUAACCUCCUAUAAGACUGGGAUAACUUAGGGAAACCGGAACUAAACCGGCUACUUAUCGAUGGAUCCACUUUGCAUUAGCUAGUGGGUAAGGUAACGGCCUACCAAGGCAACGAUCCAUAGCCGACCUGAGAGGGUGAUCGGCCACACUGGAACUGAGACACGGUCCAGACUCCUACGGGAGGCAGCAGUAGGGAAUCUUCCGCAAUGGGCGAAAGCCUGACGGAGCAACGCCGCGUGAGUGAUGAAGGUCUUCGGAUCGUAAAACUCUGUUAUUAGGGAAGCGGUACCUAAUCAGAAAGCCACGGCUAACUACGUGCCAGCAGCCGCGGUAAUAC